rnacentral:rRNA from 1 species
GAUGAACGCUGGCGGCGUGCCUAAUACAUGCAAGUCGAGCGAACGGACGCGAAGCUUGCUUCUCUGAUGUUAGCGGCGGACGGGUGAGUAACACGUGGAUAACCUACCUAUCAGACUGGGAUAACUUCGGGACACCGGAGCUAAUACCGGAUAAUAUUUUGAACCGCAUGGUUCAAAAGUGAAAGACGGUCUUUCUGUCUCUUCUAGCUGGAUCUGCGCUUCAUUAGCUAGUUGGUAAGGUAACGGCUUACCAAGGCAACGAUGCAUAGCCGACUUGAGAGAGGGAUCGGCCACACUGGAGCUUAGACGCGGACAAGACGCCUACGGGAGGCAGCAGUAGGGAAUCUGCCGCAAUGGGCGAGAGCCUUACGGAGCGAGGCCGCGUGAGUGAUGAAGGUCUUCGGAUCGUAAUACUCGGUUAUUAGUGAUGAACAGAUGUGGAAGGAGCCGUGCACAGAGUGACGGUACCGGAUCAGAAAGCCACGGCUAACUACGUG